GCACACCCGAUGCCCGGGGGUCGCUACGGACUUAAAAUCUCCGCACCGCACCCUCCACCUCAGAAACGUUCCUGGAUCCGAACACUGCCCCCUGACGACCUAGAGAGAUCCCGGCUCCCAGCCCACUGAGUGGCUUCAGCCUCGCUGGUAGGUCUCUCCUCCAAAGCUCUGGAAACAGACUCCUGGGAGUGAGAGGGAGGGGAGCGCAGGCACCGCCCCCUUUCCCCAAGUCCCCCGCCCACUUCAUCCCUCAGGCACCUCCCAACUCCUGGCCUCUCUGCACGAGGCGCCUGCCCCGGGCCCCGCCUACAGGGGACCCAGCUCUUCUUGCAGCCACUGGAAGCUGAUCACCUGGAGUGAAGACCUCACACGUGAGUUUCCCUCUGUUUAGGUUAAACUUGGGCUUCCCAGGCUCCUGCACAUCCAGACUCGAUUUGCAGGAGUCCUCAGAGACAUAUGUGUAUAUAUGAGUGAUUGUAGUUCACUGCAGCCUGGACCUCCUGGGCUCAAGCGAUCCUCCCACCUCAGCCUCCUGAGUAGCUGGGACCACCGGUGUGUACCACCACCACGUUUAAAUAAUUUUUUUUAUAUAUAUUUAGUAGAGAGGAAGUCUCACUGUGUUGCCUGAGCUGGUCUCGAAUUUGUGGGCUCAAGUGAUCCUCCCGCUUCGGCUGGGAUUACAGCCCACGAAGUGCUGGGAUUACAGGCAUGAGCCGUCACUCCGGACCCUAUAGACCUUAGUAUCCCCUC
rnacentral:lncRNA from 1 species